AGCCCAUUUUUCCACGCUGAUUUGCUUUUGUCCAACACAUCUGCGGAGUGUGUACGGUGGACAGGCCCUCGGGAGGUGAUCUUGUGAACACUUGCUGAGGAUCCUUGAUGCCGAGUGCAGGAUGUUUCCUACCAGUUUGAAGCCAUGUCUGAAGGGUUCCGAGGUGGAAUGUUCUGCGCUGGCCGAUGGCGGCGUCGGGGGGGGGGGGGGGCACUGCACCGCAUGCCCAUGGUGACGAGGAAACAGCUGACGCAGGCAACAACGGCAUAGACCAACAUCUGAAGGAUGACAGGUGAACAUUUAUUUUUACCUUGAGAUCCUUUAAUCAGCUAUUCAGUAAUUCUAUAUAACUCACCAAAAGUGGGAGUUGUGCCGUGCGAGCGAUCUUUGGAGACGCCAUGUUGGCGAUGAGGAUGCCCAGCGGGUUGGCUGUGGAGGAACAGCGGGCUAAAGAUGAUCACCUCCAUGUCAAGUGUCUCCCAUAAAAUUGCUCAUAGACACCUUGUAACUCACUUGGUCUGCCAGAGCAUAAGACCAUGUAGCAGGAAGGGAUCAGUGUUGCCAACGUAACCACUUUCUUGCUAUAUUGAGUAAUCAGACCUCUUUUUCCAAAAAGUGACUCAUCCAUUGGAAAGACUUUUGUAGACCAUGAAUGCAUGUGACCAGCGAGUGCAUCUGUGGGCCCCUCCCACAUCUAAAAUCACUCUAGGGAUGUAACCAUGAAUGGUAUUAAUGAUAACCGCGGUAAAACACCCCACAGUUAGUAUUACCAUUUUAAAGGGCGGUACAGCUUGGUUGGUAGAGCGGCCGUGCCAGCAACUUGAGGGUUCCAGGUUCGAUCCCCGCUUGCGCCAUCCUGGUCCAGUGGUUCUCAAAUAAUAGGACCUCUUUAAAUACUUGACAGUUUGAAGCAGUUUUCAAUAGAAGUAGUGAAUUCAAUAAUUAAUUAAUGUUUUACAAUAUAUAUUUACAUAUGUAAUAAUAUUGACCAAUAUUCUUGUAAAUUUAUAGUGAAUUUAAAAGUACAUUCGUUAAUUGUGGAACUGUGACAACACUCAUUCUAAACAUGAAUGUUUUGCAUUUCAUGUUUUUUUACAGCCAUUUAUGCAAAAUAGUGGAUUAUUCCAAGGCAAACCACCGCCGCCAACAAAUACACUAUAUUGCCAAAAGUAUCUGGCCACCUGCCUUGACUCACAUAUGAACUUGAAGUGCCAUAUCAUUCCUAACCCAUAGCGUUCAAUAUGAUGUGGGUCCACCUUUUGCAGCUAUUACAGCUUCAACUUUUCUGGGAAGGCUGUCCACAAGGUUGCCGAGUGUCUUUAUAGGAAUUUUCCACCAUUCUUCCAAAAGCGCAUUGGGGAGGUCACACACUGAUGUUGGUGGAGAAGGCCUGGCUCUCAGUCUCCAUUCUAAUUCAUCCCAAAGGUGUUCUAUUGGGUUCAGGUCAGGACUCUGUGCAGGCCAGUCAAGUUCAGCUGCAUCAGACUCUGUCAUCCAUGCCUUUAUGGCCCUUGCUUUGUGCAGUGGUGCACAAUCAUGUUAGGAGCGUGGAAUUGUCCAAAAGGUUUUGGUAUCCUGGAGUAUUCAAAGUUCCUUUCACUGGAACUAAGGGGCCAAGCCCAACUCCUGAAAACCAACACCACACCGUCAUUUCUCCGCUGACCCCUCUCUGUCAGUUUACAUGGUCUACUAAUUGGUGGCUGAGUUGAUGUUGUUCCCAAACUCUUCCAUUUUCUUAUAAUAAAGCCGACAGUUGACUUUGGAAUAUUUAGGAGCGAGGAAAUUUCGCCACUGGAUUUGUUGCAAAGGUGGCGUCCAAUGACAGUUCCACGCUGGAAAUCACUGAGAGCGGCCCAUUCUUUCACAAAUGUUUGUAAAAACAGUCUCCAUGCCUAAGUGCUUGAUUCUAUACACCUGCGGCCAUUUCAACAUGUUAUUACUUCAACAAUUCUCCACCGAUUGAGAAAUUGUCCAAGACAUCAAUAAAUUUAGAUUAGAUACUACUUUAUUUAUUCCUUCAGGAGAGUAAAUGCCUUGGCAGAAGACACCUCCUGAUUAAAUGUAAAACUACAAAGAGCAGACUGCCAAAGAUGCCUAUACCGCAGGAUUUCUUAUUUUUCAAAUAAUCAUCAAAUGUUGCCGUUGACAUCAGUGAUGCUAUUCGGACCAGAAAUUAUAUAUUUAGUAAGUAGAGCGAAUAAAGAA